CGCACCUCGCCACCUCCUUUCCUCGCCUCCCCGCCCAGACCUGGUAUCCCAUCGGAGGCCGGCGUCCCCAACUCUCUGCCUCUCUACAUCAGUCGCUCGCUGAGGGGCCGUACAAACGACCCCCAUGUCACCGCCACAUGAGGCCGCUGCCCCCAGCUCUCUGUCUCUUUCCAUCUGUUGCUCAUCGAGGGGUCGUACAAACGACCCGCAGGUCACCGGUGACCAGCUCUUCCUCCGUCCGCCGCUCGCUGCCUGCCCAAACGCUAGCCAGAAAAAUCAGUUGCUGCUACCUCCCAGCGGCGUCCCACCCCGUCCGGAGUGCCGCCUGUCCCCUGGUCCUGCCGCCCCGCACGCUCCUAGCCCAUCAAGAUUGUUCCUUGUUGGGUUGCAACCUCCAUGGCAGAUGAUACGAGAUUGGUACACUAAUAUAUGUCCAACUGCUGAAAGAAAAUAGCAUGAAUGAAUUUAGAGCUUUCUUGCAAUGUUCGCUUGCUUGCCGUUGUCUCGUAUAUGUACAUAUAAAUCAGGUGUUACAAAGAUGGUUGGUGAAGAUUAUGUUAUCAAAUCAACAACUGAUCUGGUAAAAUAAAGAAGCAGCAAAUGAGCUAGAAAAAAAAAUCAGACUGGAGAUGGAUAGAACCGGCAUCCUAAUGUUUCAUGCAUAUUGGUUGCUUGUUUGGCAAAGCAUGUUGGUAGAUGUGAGAGGUAAACUUGUCUCCAGACCUGCUUGUUGUCCAUCCACAUAAAGACUUGAACAUGUAUCUUGUGCAAUGCGUGAUUCAACUACUAACAACAUGGACAUUAUUGAUCAUAAAUAAAUGAGAUAGUAUAUUCUUUAGUUAUUUUGGUGGUCUUAGUUCUAUUGCGAAUAAUAGCCCCUUCCAAUCAGUUUACCAUCUCGAAAUAUAGAAGUAGCUAGCUUGCUAUAGGUUGAACGAGGCAUUGCUGCGGCACAAACAUUCUGUGGGUCACCAGAAUUGGUAACUGUGGUCAAGAAAAAGAAGCUCACUCACAACUACUCAAAGAUGGGUUGAAGCCUCAACAAGUAUGUUUGCUUGCAUGUUACAAUGAUGAUAUGACAAAGAGCUUUGCCAUGGUAUGUUUCCUUAUGCCCUGCACCUUUUUAGUUAAGCUGAGAUGUGAAAUUUUUCAUCAAUCUAGGAGAUCAAGUUUAUCAAUUUGUAUACCUUAUCCAUCUUUAUUAAGUGCUGAAGAUGCCAGAAUUAUUAAGUUUCUUUGUAACUGUUGUCACUUCUAUCGAGCAUCGUGCCCUUGUUGAUACUUCAGAUCAAACGAGCAGAAGAGAAGCCGAGUCCAAGUACUUGGUUGGCAUUCGCAUUGCAAGGGAGUGUUAAAGACAGUGACCUUGCCUUCUCCAAGAAAGUCCAAGUACUUGGUUGGCAUUUGCAUUGCUAGGGAGUGUUAGAUACAACGACCUCGCCUUCUCCAAGAAAGUCCAAGUACUUGGUUGGUGUUUGCAUUGCAAGGGAGUGUUAGAGACAACGACCUCACCUUCUCCAAGAAUGUCCCUGGUGCCAGUGUGAAUUAUAUUAUGGACAUGGUUUUGGUCACCCAAUACUUCGAUAUCAUGAAAGGGAUUGGGCAUCGUCCAAUUCAUCUUCAUUGUUCAUCCCAUAUGGUCCUGGAGUCGUCAAAGAUGUUGUGUCACAGAUAAGAGGUGGUCUCCUCCAAGCCAAUACCGAAAAUGUUGGGUUCUCCCAAGAGUUGUGAAGUUCUUCAUCAUUAGCCUAGAAAUAUUACAUGAUAAAUGUUAGCCAAUAUCAUUAGAAAUUUAUGUACAUGCAUGAACUACUAUAUUGAGUUGUGAAUUUCAAGUUUUGAACGGUGUUGCUGAGCUGUUGCU